rnacentral:rRNA from 1 species
AAGCUCGUAGUUGAUUUGGGAAGGUUCCUUGCGGCCCCCCCCUGGGGGGGGGGGCCCCAGCCCUUCUUAUGUUCCUAACGGUCCUCUUGCGGGGGGGGGAGGGGAACCCCCCGCUAGGUUUUUUUUCUUUGAGGAAAAUAGAGUGUUCAAAGCAGGGGUAACCCGCCCUCCGAAUAGGUAAGCAUGGGAUAAUGGAAUCGCCUUCGGUCUUGUUUCGUUGGUUUUCGCUUGGCUGAAAGUAAUGAUUGAUAGGGACAGUUGGGGGCAUUAGUAUUUAGUUGUCAGAGGUGAAAUUCUAGGAUUUACUAAAGACUGACCAAUGCGAAAGCAUUUGCCAAGGAUGUUUUCAUUAAUCAAGAACGAAAGUAGGGGGAUCGAAGACGAUCAGAUACCGUGGUAGUUUCUACCGUAAACUAUGCCGACCAGGGAUCCGGAGAGUUUGCAUGGAUGACUCCCCGGGCACCUUGUGAGAAAUCA